rnacentral:rRNA from 1 species
AGGGUUUGAUCCUGGCUCAGAACGAACGCUGGCGGCGUGCCUAACACAUGCAAGUCGAACGAGAAAGUCUCUUCGGAGAUAAGUAAAGUGGCGCAAGGGUGAGUAACGCGUGAGUAACCUGCCCUAAAGUCUGGGAUAACCCAUCGAAAGGUGAGCUAAUACCGGAUAAGCCCACGGGUCGAAAGAUCUGUGGGAAAAGGUGGCCUCUAUUUAUAAGCUAUCACUUGAGGAUGGGCUCGCGUACCAUUAGCUUGUUGGUGGGGUAAUGGCCCACCAAGGCUACGAUGGUUAGCUGGUCUGAGAGGAUGAUCAGUCACACUGGCACUGAGACACGGGCCAGACUCCUACGGGAGGCAGCAGUGGGGAAUAUUGCGCAAUGGGCGAAAGCCUGACGCAGCAACGCCGCGUGGAGGAUGAAGGCCUUUGGGUUGUAAACUCCUGUCAAGUGGGAAGAAACAUCCUUCGGCUAAUAUCCGGGGGAAUUGACGGUACCACUGGAGGAAGCAUCGGCUAACUACGUGCCAGCAGCCGCGGUAAUACGUAGGAUGCAAGCGUUGUUCGGAAUUAUUGGGCGUAAAGAGCGUGUAGGCGGCUUUGUAAGUCAUUGGUGAAAUCCCUCGGCUCAACCGGGGAACUGCCUUUGAAACUGCUUAGUUUGAGUACGGGAGAGGAAAGUGGAAUUCCCAGUGUAGCG